CCUUUAGGUCUGACAUAAUUCCGCGAAAGCGGGGACUAAUAUCCAGAUGAUGCAGCGGCUCGGACAUCGAGACAGUUGUUAAACCUUCGGGGCCUAAAGAUGAGCCUGCGUCUGAUUAGGUAGUUGGCGGAGUAAAAGCCCACCAAGCCUGCGAUCAGUAGCUGGUCUGAGAGGAUGAUCAGCCACACUGGAACUGAGACACGGUCCAG
rnacentral:rRNA from 1 species